AGCGAACGCUGGCGGCAGGCCUAACGCAUGCAAGUCGAACGAAGUCUUCGGACUUAGUGGCGGACGGGUGAGUAACACGUGGGAACGUGCCUUUAGGUUCGGAAUAACUCAGGGAAACUUGUGCUAAUACCGAAUGUGCCCUUCGGGGGAAAGAUUUAUCGCCUUUAGAGCGGCCCGCGUCUGAUUAGCUAGUUGGUGAGGUAAAGGCUCACCAAGGCUACGAUCAGUAGCUGGUCUGAGAGGAUGACCAGCCACAUUGGGACUGAGACACGGCCCAAACUCCUACGGGAGGCAGCAGUGGGGAAUCUUGCGCAAUGGGCGAAAGCCUGACGCAGCCAUGCCGCGUGGAUGAUGAAGGUCUUAGGAUUGUAAAAUCCUUUCACCGGUGAAGAUAAUGACUGUAGCCGGAGAAGAAGCCCCGGCUAACUUCGUGCCAGCCGCCGCGGUAAUAC
rnacentral:rRNA from 1 species